UAAUCUAUUUAUGACACAUCUUCAUCUAGUUAUAAAAAAUCUACAUCUAAUUGCCCAGAACCUUCAGCUUCUGUUGACGUAACUACAUCAAUUUUAUAAGAUAUUUUAAGGAUC
rfam:Populus trichocarpa scaffold_14_contig_109, whole genome shotgun sequence.